CCGUGCUAGACGGGGAGUUAGCGGUGCCCUGUAACCCGCAAUCCGCUCCAGCGGGGUUGAAGUCCCUCUCGAGGGCGGCUCGUGUCGAGUGAGCCUCACGGGACGGUGCUGAAGGUUGGGCCCCACGCAACGGGAAUCGUCGAACCCCGCCAGGCCCGGAAGGGAGC
rnacentral:SRP_RNA from 1 species